AUUGAACGCUGGCGGCAGGCUUAACACAUGCAAGUCGAGCGGAGAUGAGGUGCUUGCACCUUAUCUUAGCGGCGGACGGGUGAGUAAUGCUUAGGAAUCUGCCUAUUAGUGGGGGACAACAUUCCGAAAGGAAUGCUAAUACCGCAUACGUCCUGCGGGAGAAAGCAGGGGAUCUUCGGACCUUGCGCUAAUAGAUGAGCCUAAGUCGGAUUAGCUAGUUGGUGGGGUAAAGGCCUACCAAGGCGACGAUCUGUAGCGGGUCUGAGAGGAUGAUCCGGCACACAGGGGCGGGAACACGGCCCAGACUCAUACGGGAGGCAGCAGUGGGGAAUAUUGGACGAUGGGGGGAACCCUGAUCCAGCCAUGCCGCGUGUGUGAAGGAGGCCUUAUGGUUGUAAAGCAAUUUAAGCGAGGAGGAGGCUACUGAGACUAAUACUCUUGGAUAGUGGACGUUACUCGCAGAAUAAGCACCGGCUAACUCUGUGCCAGCCGCCGCAGUAAGAC
rnacentral:rRNA from 1 species